rnacentral:rRNA from 1 species
AGAGUUUGAUCCUGGCUCAGGAUGAACGCUGGCGGCGUGCUUAACACAUGCAAGUCGAGCGAGAAAAGUUCUUCGGAGCUUUUCUAGCGGCGGACGGGUGAGUAACACGUGGGCAACCUGCCUCAUAGAGGGGAAUAGCCUUCCGAAAGGAAGAUUAAUACCGCAUAACAUUGUUGAAAGGCAUCUUUUAACAAUCAAAGGAGCAAUCCGCUAUGAGAUGGGCUCGCGGCGCAUUAGCUAGUUGGUGAGGUAACGGCUCACCAAGGCGACGAUGCGUAGCCGACCUGAGAGGGUGAUCGGCCACAUUGGAACUGAGACACGGUCCAGACUCCUACGGGAGGCAGCAGUGGGGAAUAUUGCACAAUGGGGGAAACCCUGAUGCAGCAACGCCGCGUGAGUGAUGAAGGUCUUCGGAUUGUAAAGCUCUGUCUUUAGGGACGAUAAUGACGGUACCUAAGGAGGAAGCCACGGCUAACUACGUGCCAGCAGCCGCGGUAAUACGUAGGUGGCAAGCGUUGUCCGGAUUUACUGGGUGUAAAGGGCGUGCAGCCGGGUCUGCAAGUCAGAUGUGAAAUCCAUGGGCUCAACCCAUGAACUGCAUUUGAAACUGUAGAUCUUGAGUGUCGGAGGGGCAAUCGGAAUUCCUAGUGUAGCGGUGAAAUGCGUAGAUAUUAGGAGGAACACCAGUGGCGAAGGCGGAUUGCUGGACGAUAACUGACGGUGAGGCGCGAAAGUGUGGGGAGCAAACAGGAUUAGAUACCCUGGUAGUCCACACUGUAAACGAUGAAUACUAGGUGUGCGGGGACUGACCCCCUGCGUGCCGCAGUUAACACAAUAAGUAUUCCACCUGGGGAGUA